rnacentral:rRNA from 1 species
AUUGAACGCUGGCGGCAGGCCUAACACAUGCAAGUCGAACGAGUGGCGGACGGGUGAGUAAUGUCUGGGAAACUGCCUGAUGGAGGGGGAUAACUACUGGAAAAGGUAGCUAAUACCGCAUACCAUCAGCUGUGCCCAGAUGGGAUUAGCUUGUUGGUGGGGUAACGGCUCACCAAGGCGACGAUCCCUAGCUGGUUUGAGAGGCAGACCCGCCACACGGGGACUGAGAAACGGCCCAGAAUCCGACGGGAGGCAGCAGUGGGGAAUAUAGGACAAGGGGGGCAAACCUGACGCAGCCAUGCCGGGGGUAUGAAGAAGGCCUGCGGGUUGGAAAAGACUGUUGGCAGGGAGGCGUUACCCGCAGAAGAAGCACCGGCUAACUCCGUGCCAGCAGCCGCGGUAAUUC